rnacentral:rRNA from 1 species
GAUGAACGCUGGCGGCGUGCCUAAUACAUGCAAGUCGAGCGAACGGACGAGAAGCUUGCUUUUCUGAUGUUAGCGGCGGACGGGUGAGUAACACGUGGAUAACCUACCUAUAAGACUGGGAUAACUUCGGGAAACCGGAGCUAAUACCGGAUAAUAUUUUGAACCGCAUGGUUCAAAAGUGAAAGACGGUCUUGCUGUCACUUAUAGAUGGAUCCGCGCUGCAUUAGCUAGUUGGUAAGGUAACGGCUUACCAAGGCAACGAUGCAUAGCCGACCUGAGAGGGUGAUCGGCCACACUGGAACUGAGACACGGUCACGACGCCUACGGGAGGCAGCAGUAGGGAAUCUUCCGCAAUGGGCGAAAGCCUGACGGAGCAACGCCGCGUGAGUGAUGAAGGUCUUCGGAUCGUAAAACUCUGUUAUUAGGGAAGAACAUAUGUGUAAGUAACUGUGCACAUCUUGACGGUACCUAAUCAGAAAGCCACGGCUAACUACGUG